rnacentral:rRNA from 1 species
CAAGGAAUGACAGCGAAUACGUAAAUCAAGUGUCACUGUUGGCUUUGGCGGGCAAGGUCCCCUUUGGCCCAGUGGCUUCGUGCGCCCCAUCCCAUCUCAUCCCAUUGGGGUCGGAUGGGUGGGACGAACCAUGAAAGCCCGGCGCAAUGGGCGCCAAGGAACACAAACCUCGGGGGCACAUGUUUGGGGCCAUGUUGGCCUCUAAUGCACUCCCGUGUAUGAAUCCAAACCUCACAUGACUCUCGGCAACGGAUAUCUCCUCUCGCAUCGAUGAAGAACGUAGCGAAAUGUGAUAUUUGGUGUGAAUUGCAGAAUCCCGUGAACCAUCGAGUCUUUGAACGCAAGUUGCGCCCGAGGCCUUGCGGCUAAGGGCACGCCUGCCUGGGCGUCACUCUUUCGACGCUCCACACCCAUCCCCAUGGCAUGGGCAAUGGAUGCGGAAGUUGGCCCCCCGUGUGCGAGGCACCCUUGCAUGUGGUCGGCCAAAGACUUUGUCUAUCGCGUGUCCCCAAGGACAUGAUGGGUGGUGGAUGCCCUUGAGCAUGCUCAAAACAUUAUGCCUUGACACGUGUGC